AUAUCAUCUUUCGCGUUUUUAUACUCGGCAAGCGGCAAAUCACAAACGAUAAUAAAAGUAUGUGUAUUUUUGUAUUUAUCAGUUUAUUCGAGACGGUGAAACGAUUCGCAUCAGCCAGCAGAAGAAAUUUUGUAGAUUAGUUAGAAGUUGACUCUUUUUCUGCUAUGAAUGAUGAUGAUGAUGAUGAUGCAGAAAAACAGCAGAACAAAGAUGAAGGAAAAAAACAGCACAAGGAUGAUGCAGGGAAACAACAGCAGGAUCCAUCAUUCCACAUGCAGCGUCGGACUGGUGUAAGGCGCGCCGAACGUGAUGAAAAAUAUAAAUGGUCUGCACGCAGAGAGAAAGGAAGAAUGGAGAGCAGAAGAGGAAAAAGUUCGAGAAGAGGAAGCAGAUUUUUUAGAAGAGGAGGAGUAGGAAGAGGAAGAGGC